AGCGAACGCUGGCGGCAUGCCUAACACAUGCAAGUCGAACGAGACCUUCGGGUCUAGUGGCGCACGGGUGCGUAACGCGUGGGAAUCUGCCCUUGGGUUCGGAAUAACAGUUGGAAACGACUGCUAAUACCGGAUGAUGACGUAAGUCCAAAGAUUUAUCGCCCAAGGAUGAGCCCGCGUAAGAUUAGCUAGUUGGUGAGGUAAAGGCUCACCAAGGCGACGAUCCUUAGCUGGUCUGAGAGGAUGAUCAGCCACACUGGGACUGAGACACGGCCCAGACUCCUACGGGAGGCAGCAGUGGGGAAUAUUGGACAAUGGGCGAAAGCCUGAUCCAGCAAUGCCGCGUGAGUGAUGAAGGCCUUAGGGUUGUAAAGCUCUUUUACCCGGGAUGAUAAUGACAGUACCGGGAGAAUAAGCGCCGGCUAACUCCGUG
rnacentral:rRNA from 1 species